UUAUUUAUUUGUUGUUAACAAUAUAACAUAUAGAGUAUGAUAUUUUUCCAUUACAGAAAGCAUAAGAAAUUUCUUAAGAGAAGGCAACGGAAUUUAAAGCCACGACAAAUACAAUCAAUGUCUCAUCUAUCAUUUCAUAAGUGGUUUAAUGAAUGUGAACAUAAUGAAACGUAAGGCAACAACAAACUUGGAAUUAGAAUUGCAUGAAGGACUUUCUCAGGGUUCAAAUUCGUAGUCCCAUAGUUCCCAUGGUUCACAAGAAGAGGACGUGGGGACUACUGAAAGCAAUGAGUUAAGACCACUGCCCCACACGCUGCGCAAAUGUGCUACAACAUGACACCAAAAAGAAUGGCCAGAUACCAUUAAGUGUGAAUGAGCAUGGACAGCCUAAUGGAGCCGAUGAAAAAAAUUUCGCUAAUUAUUUGGGCACAAUUGCCCGUAAUGGUCGUGCAGCUCCCUUGAACUAUAAAAAUUGGAGGAAAGUCCCUGAAAUAGUUAAAGAGGACAUGUGGACAAUGGUCCGGGCAAGUUUGUAGUAGAAGAAAUCUCAAAAGAUUGGACAUUAUCAUCCCUUGGCAUAAAUGGAGAGAUUGGAAGAGUGAGAUUAAAAGUAACUAUUAUAAAAUUUGGCGUACAGAUGAACAACGAUAUGCAAACCCACCACCAAGUGUUGAGGAGGACCAAUGGGAUUAUCUCAUUAGAUAUUGGCAUACAGAGGCAGCACAGAAACAAAGCCAACAAAAUGAAGUAAAUCGCUCUAAGCAAACAAUGCUGCACACAACUGGGACAAUGAGUUAUGUGCGGAAGGCUGAAAAGAUGAAGUUGGAAUCAGGGAAGGCGCCAACUCGUGCUCAACUAUUUUGCGCAACACAUAAGAGCAAGAAGGAUGGCAAAGCUAGUGAUAAACAUGCUGCCAAAAUGAUUACACAACUAGAAGAGCUUGCUACAACUCAGCCUUCUAACCCAAAUGAACCUUCACCCCACGAUUUUUAUGCCCAAGUUAGGGGAGAAGAAAGAAGGGGCCGUGUUCGGAUGUAUGGCUUGGGGCCUACACCUACUAGUCUUUGGGGGCCAUCUCCUAGGAAAGCGGAGCUGAUAAGGAGGACCUCACAAGUAGAGGAAGAGGCACAUGUUGCUCGUGCAGAAAUGAAUGAGAAAGUGGACAAAAUGUGUGUCGAGUAUGAUGAAAAAUAUGAAGCUUUGAAUGCAAAGAUGGUUAUGAUUUUGCGUCAUAUUGAAAACCAAAAUUCUAAUGUACAGAUAAAUAAUUUUGUUAUUGUACCCUUGUAAACAUUUUACUAUAUAAAUAUUAUAAGUCCUAAUAUAUUUAUAAUUAUAUUCUAUUAUGAAGGUGCAUAAUAAAGUUAUAUUUUAUUGUGAAGGUACCAGGCUCCUCAACUACUACACUUGGUGAUCCUUAAACUUUAUUUUUGGUCAUGGAAUUUCAUCCUUGGGCAAUUUGAAGGAAGACGAGAGAUGAAAUUGAACCAUUUAUUUUCAAGGCCCUCGCAUAGUCUCACUCAAAUUCUCAAUGAAAUGUUGAUGUUUUAUUUUGAAUGAUUUCCCUUUGAACCUUUUAUUAGCACUUGACAUUUUGAAACGAAACUUAGAUGUCAUGGAAUGUUAUUGAAUUUUAAUGUAAUUUUCUUCGUUCUAUGUUACA